UAGAGUUUGAUCCUGGCUCAGGACGAACGCUGGCGGCGUGCUUAACACAUGCAAGUCGAACGGUGACGAUGAGAGCUUGCUCUUGUUUGAUCAGUGGCGAACGGGUGAGUAACACGUGAGUAACCUGCCCCAGACUCUGGGAUAACCCCGGGAAACCGGAGCUAAUACCGGAUAUGACACCAACGGGCAUCCGUAUGGUGUGGAAAGUUUUUCGGUCUGGGAUGGGCUCGGUCGGGCCCA
rnacentral:rRNA from 1 species